rnacentral:rRNA from 1 species
UGUUAAUGUACAUGCCUAACACAUGCAAUGUCGAACGUGUACAGGAAGCAGCUUGCUGCUUUGCUGACGAGUUGGCUGUGACGGUGUGAGUAAUGUCUGGGAAACUGCCUGAUGGAGUGGUGUGAUAACUACUGGAAACUGUGUAGCUAAUACCUGCAUAACUGUCUGCAAUGACCAAAUGAGUGGGUGACCUUCGUGUGCCUCUUGCCAUCUGGAUGUGCCCAUGAUGGUGAUUAGCUAGUAGUGUGGGGUAACUGUGCUCACCUAGUGCGACGAUCCCUAGCUGGUCUGAGAGUGAUGACCAGCCACACUGGAACUGAGACACGUGUCCAUGUCUCCUAACGUGGAGUGCAGCAGUGUGUGGAAUAUUUGCACAAUGGGCGCAAGCCUUGAUGCAGCCAAUGCCGCGUUGUAUGAAGAAGGCCUUCGGGUUGUAAAAAGGUACUUUCAGCGGGGGAGGAAGGUGUAUGAGGGUUAAUAACCUCAGCAAUUUGACGUUACCCUGCAGAAGGAAGCACCGGCUAACUCCGUGCCAGCAGCCGCGGUAAUACCGGAGGGUGCAAGCGUUAACUCGGAAUUACUGG